AUUGAACGCUGGCGGCAGGCCUAACACAUGCAAGUCGAACGAGAGGCGGACGGGUGAGUAAUGUCUGGGAAACUGCCUGAUGGAGGGGGAUAACGACGGGAAAAGGUAGCUAAUAGCGCAUACCAUCGGAGGUGCCCAGUUGGGAUUAGCUAGGAGGUGGGGUAAAGGCUCACCUAGGCGACGCUCCCUAGCUGGUCUGAGAGGAUGACCAGCCACACUGGAACUGAGACACGGCCCAGACUCCUACGGGAGGCAGCAGUGGGGAAUAUUGCACAAUGGGCGCAAGUCUGACGCAGCCAUGCCGCGUGUAUGAAGAAGGCUUUCGGGUUGUAAAGUACUAUCAGCGGGGAUGCGUUACCCGCAGAAGAAGCAACGGCUAACUCCGUGCCAGCAGCCGCGGUAAUUC
rnacentral:rRNA from 1 species